CUCAAGGCCUCUCAUGGCACCCCACACAGUCUCUGCAGUCAAAUUGGCAGGACCCCAUGUGGGAAUAGUGAGUGAAUAGGACUCAUUCACGUUGUGGUGAAGUGGGGCAGUGAGGUCUGAGACAGAGACCAAAAGGGUCUGUAAAGGAGGGGUGGAGGUGGUAAAGUUGAGAGUGGGAGGGACUAAGGGAAUGUGGUGUUCGGUUUGAAUGAGAUUGAGGUAGCGCUUGAUGGCGGAGGAGAGGUGUAUAUGUAUUUGGUUGGGAGUUGAAAUGGUAAAGUUGGGAGAGAGAAGAGUGGCUUGUGGU